rnacentral:lncRNA from 1 species
GGCGGCCUCCAGCUGGCUGCGCGCGGUUCUCCUGUUUCUAUGUGCCUCGGACCUUCUGUUGCUCUCUCCUCCUGAAGCCUACGCGACCGAUACUCCCGGCGAGGCCAUCACACCUCCACGGAAAAAGAAGGACAUCCGCGAUUACAACGAUGCCGACAUGGCGCGACUUCUGGAGCAGUGGGAGGUCCGUGUCGCCCGCAUACUCCUGAGCAUCUUCCCAUACAGAUCCCUUUUUUCUAACCCUUACCCUCUAGGUCUUUUGACCUUCUGACUUGUGUCCCCUGAUCCCUCUCUCUGCCCUGUGUUCAGGGUCCUUAUUGACUGUGUCCAGUACCCGCUGACCUCCCGGGUCUCCAUUCCACCACGGUUCAGGCCUCUCGCCCAGUGUCCUCCACUACCAUGGCUCCUCAGACACUCUAGUCAGGACUUGGAUUCUCACUGGUCAAACCCUACUUUCCUUGCUGUGUCCCAGUGCUCUCACAUUGAUCUUGGUGGACAGUGAACCGCAAAGGGAGCGAGAGCUCCUGAGGAGCGUUUCCUCCUUCCCCCUCCUGUUCUGGAGUGAAUUGGUUGUGAAGGUGGUCUCCCCCCUCCCCCCGCUCGUUUUGAUAAAGAUCUUUCCAAAUAUAGAGGGUUUCCGACUUCUUUUGGUGUUUGUCCCUGCUGGGACUUUUGUAAUUUCGUGGGUGGAUUUAUUUUACUGGUAGAGGGAGCUAAGGCAUCUCAUAUGGAACUCAGGUUUUUGAUUCAUGGGAGUAGUGAACUUGUUUUGUG